rnacentral:rRNA from 1 species
CAGCCGCCGCGGUAAUACCGGCGGCCCGAGUGGCGGCCGUGUUUAUUGGGCCUAAAGGGUCCGUAGCCGGCCCCGUAAGUCUCCCGGGAAAUCGGGCGGCUCAACCGUCCGCUUCCGGGAGAUACUGCGGGGCUAGGGACCGGGAGAGGCCGGGGGUACUCCCGGGGUAGGGGUAAAAUCCUAUAAUCCCGGGGGGACCACCUGUGGCGAAGGCGCCCGGCUGGAACGGGUCCGACGGUGAGGGGCGAAGGCCGGGGGAGCAAACCGGAUUAGAUACCCGGGUAGUCCUGGCUGUAAAGGAUGCGGGCUAGGUGUCGGGUGAGCUUCGAGCUCGCCCGGUGCCGUAGGGAAGCCGUUAAGCCCGCCGCCUGGGGAGUACGGCCGCAAGGCUGAAACUUAAAGGAAAUGGCGGG